UAAUUGACUGACUGCCCCCUGGGCAGUCCUAAGCAAAAUUUUAGCUGUAAUUGAUACAUGUAAAAUGGAAGGAAGGCACAGAAAGUGACAAAAAGAAAUGGUCUUUAAAAAUGCCAAGAACUUCCUGUGAAGGGGUCUUUUGUCUUCAACUUCACCUUGGAGGAGGUCUAACUGAGGAUCUCGGACUGCUUCUGUUUUCCUUAGAACUACCAUGUAGGGGAUUCAGUGACAGUUCUGACAGAUGCCACCCCUGAAAAAUUGGAAGGCUCCAGAACAGAAGGGACCAAGGAUAGAAGAAAGUGUGGGGAAGAGAUACAAUACUUACCAAAAGUCAAAUUGGAACCACCAAGAGAAGUACCCCUGGACAACCCAUCACAAAGGACACACAUAUCCAGCACUGUGAGACAUUCUCCUACAUUUUUUUAAAUCUAGACAAAUUGGAGAACAGAUGAGAAGCUGCAGAUUGCAACCGUGAGUUCAGGCAGAACUCCAAAGGUAAUGAAUUGCAAAAACGACCAUCUUGAACUUUGAGCACUCUCUCCCUUCCCUGCUGUAGCUGCUCUGUUUAGACAGCUGUCAUGCCCUGGUUGACUCUCAGAGACUGCAAGGUGACAGAUAUAUGCUGGUACCAUCGAAUUUCAUGCUUUUAAUGGGAGACCGAAUCCAUUUUCUUCAGACGGGUACCCUUAAAUUGUACACCUCUCAGCGUGAAUAAACUCCUCUCAGCAAGA